GGUUGAGGUAGAGGCGCAAAGUGUUAAAAGUAGUUAUUAUGGAAGCUGGAAACUUGUGAUAUAAUAAUGAAAGGAACCUUUGCCGAAGCUUUAAAUACCUAAAAUUUAAGGCUGGGACUAUAUUUAAUAGAUAUAGGACUGUCAUCAAUUUAUUUACUCGGUAGAUUGAUGUUGAGCUAUCUCAUUU
rnacentral:ncRNA from 2 species